GAACGCACAUUGCGCCUCUUGGUAUUCCGAGGGGCAUGCCCGUUCGAGCGUCAUUAUAACCCCUCAAGCUCAGCUUGGUGUUGGGGCCUGCUGUUGCCGGCAGCCCUUAAAAUCAGUGGCGGUGCCAUCUGGCUCUAAGUGUAGUAAUACUUCUCGCUACAGGGUCCGGGUGGAUGCCUGCCAUCAACCCCUAAAUUUCUAUGGUUGACCUCGGAUCGGGUAGGGAUACCCGCUGAACUUGAG
rnacentral:misc_RNA from 1 species